UUUGCUUGUUUCUCUUUGGGAGAAUGGUAGAGGAGAAUGUUCUUUGCCAUGUUGGAGUUGAGAGGCUUGUAAAGUACCUGGCAGUUAAUAUCCUUCAGCUGUGAGGGAUUUUUUUUUAUCCAGGGUGAGUUGAGAGAUGCAGGCAUGACUCCUAAGGAUGUCCUCAGGAUCUGAAGAAGGUAACUGAGCUAGUAAACAGACUCUCCAAUUGAACCCUCCGAACCCACAGAAGAGCUGGAUAGAGAGUGUGAGCUUCUGUAAUGCAAUUCCUCCUGGAAGGAGAUGGGAGGAGGAGACAGGAGAGUCUCCAGGGGUCUGCCGGCCAGCCAACCUGGUGUGUGUAACAGAAAGACCCUGCCUCAAACAAGGGGGCAGAUGGAGUCCCGUAUCCAAGCUUGUCCUCUGAGCUCUGCACUUUUAGACUGGCACAUGAGCUCCCAUAUUGAGGUCCAUGAAUACACACACACACUCACACACACACGGUAUGAACCUAAUUUGUCCUAAAAACAAUUAUAUGCUGUUAAAAUAAAAAUACAGUAACAACUUAUAAACAAA